GGAUUGUUCACCCACCAAUAGGGAACGUGAGCUGGGUUUAGACUGUUGUGAUACAGGUUAGUUUUACCCUACUAAUGGCAGUGUCACAAUAGUAAUUCAAUGUAGUACGAGAGGAACCGUUGAUUCGCAAAAUUGAUCAUCGUGCUUGGUUGAAAAGCCAGUGGCGCAAAGCUACCAUGCGCUGGAUUAUGACUAAAUGCCUCUAAGUCAGAAUUUGGGCUAGAAACGAUGCAUGCGCCUGUCGCCUACUUGCUGAUCUGCAGUAGGGACCGUUCGGCCUCCAAAGGGACGCGUCAUUGGUGAAGCCCGCGCAACGGAUGGCCCGCGCGGGCUGCCUUGAAGUACAAUUCCUAUCUUGAGCGGUGGGUAGAAUCCUUUGCAGAUGACUUAAAUACACGAUGGGGUAUUGUGUGUGGUAGAGUGGCCUUGCUUCCACGAAUCCACUAAGAUACAGCCCUGCGUCGCUCCGAUUCGUCCCUCCC
rnacentral:rRNA from 1 species